rnacentral:lncRNA from 1 species
AAAUAGAUCUGUAGAUUCCACAUAAUUCCAAUAAAAAUUCUAUCAGUUUUAUUUUUGUAGAAGUUAGCAAGCUUAUUGUAAAAAUGCAUAUGGAAAUGCAAAAAAAACAAGAAUGGUCAAAAUAACUUUGAAGGGAAACAAAGUAGGAAUACUAACAUUACUUGAUUUCAAAAUAUAAAGCUGAAGUAUUUAAUAGGAUUCAGUAUGAUACUUGCAUAAAGAUUGACAAACAGUUUAAUGGGUCAGAACAUGAGUUCAGAAAUGGACAACAAAUUUUUUUAAAACUCAAUAUCAUCCCUAUUUCCUUAUAAAAUGAACUCAUGUCUACACGAAUACAAAAAUUUUAACACAAAUUGGAUCUUAUAAUUAAGUGUAAAAUAUAGAACUAUAAGAUAUCUAAAAAAGGCCAGAUCUGUGGCUCAUGCCUGUAAUACCAGCACUUUGGGCAGCCAAGGCUGGGGAAACACCUGAGAUCAAGUUCAAGACCAGCCUGGCCAACAUGGUGAAACCCUGUCUCUACUAAAACCUUCAUCCUUACCUUAUCAGCUUCACCUUGAGUAGGCUGAGGAGGAGGAGGAGGAAGGGAGGGGUUGUUCUUGCUGUUUUGGGGUGGCAGAGGUGGAACAGUUGGAGGAGGUAGAAGGAGAAGAAGGAGAGAGGCUGAUGCACUCAGUGUAACUUUUAUUGAAAAAUAUCCAUAGACAAUUGGACAUGCACAAUUCAAACUUGUGUUGUUCAAUGGUCAACUGUGCUACAAAAUCAAAAAGUGGGGCAUAGUUACUAAGCCAAUAGUAGAAAUAAAAAAAAUUACUUAAAACCACAAUAUCAGUUCAAAACAAGGCAGGAAAAGUGAAAAAAUCCUAAGUAAACAGUAAUAUAUAACAUGUUAAUAGAUUGAAAAAUUCAAUAUUGUUAAGAUAAUUUUCUUGCAUUAAGCUGCAGAACAAGCAAAAUACCAAUUAAAAUCUCAGCAGGACUUUUGUAGAAAUUGGCAAGCUGAUUAUAAAAUUUCCAUGUAAUACAAACAAUUUUAAAUAGCAAGAGUGAUUUUAAAAAUUAAGGGCAACGUUGAAGAACUUACACUACUAGAUUUCAAGACUUAUCAUACACUGCAGUAAUAGAUGGAGUGGGGUAUUGGCAUAAGGACACAUAUUUAGAUUAAAAGAAUAACAUAAUCUGGAAAUGUUUACAAGCAUAUAUAGUCAGUUGUUUUUUUUAAUCAAAUUUGCCAGUGUAAUUUAAUAGGAAAAGAAUGGUGCUGGAACAAUAGAAUAUCAACGUACAACCACUGACAGCGAUUAUAACCGUAAAAUUUAGGUGUUUUGUGGUUGAGGGCAUGAUGGGACAUCUACAAAAUAAAGGACAAAAUAUUUCUUACUGCACUGCAAUAAGAUGGAAGUACAACAUUUGGUAGUCCUUUUUGGAUACAGGAGGCAGCAUAGUUCACAUCUGAGGAUGCUGUACCAGACCAUGUAUUAGGUAAUACAAAUGUUUGCAUUCAUUAGUGCACACUAACUAUGGUAGAAGUGCUGAAGCACUAAAAAACUUAGUUGGCAAUGAUUUGUCCAGUUGAUAGCAACCCAUGUUUGUCGGGGUUCUCUAGAUGGACAGAACUAAUAGGAUAGUGUCUAUAUGAAGGGGAAUUUAUUAGGAGAAAUGACUCACAGGAUCACAAGGUGAAGUCCCACCAUUGGUUGUCUUCAAGCUGAGGAGCCAGGAAGCCAGUCCGAGUCCCAAAACCUCAAAAGUAGGGAAGCUGAUAGUGCAGCCUUCAGUCUGUGGUGGAAGGCCCAAGAGCCCCUGGCAAAUCACUGGUGUGAGUCCAAGAAUCCAAAAGCUGAAGAACUUGGAGUCUGAUGUUCAAGGGCAGAAAGCAUCCAGCAUGGAAGAAAGAUGGAGGCCAGAAGGCUUAGCCAGUCUGGUCUUUCCACGUGUUUCUGUCUGCUUUUAUUCUGGCCAUGCUGGCAGCUGAUUAGAUUGUCCCCACCCGGAUUGAUUGUGGAUCUGGCUUUCUCAGUCCACGGACUCAAAUGUUAAUCUCCUUUGGCAAUACCCUCACAGACACACCUAGGAACGAUGCUUUGCAUCCUUCAAUCCAAUCAAGUUGACACUCAAUAUUAACCAUCACGCAACCCAAGUGUGAGCAUGAGGUGCAUGUAGACAUGGUAACCAUGGUGAUGUAAGGAAGACUAUGCAUAAAUUCAGUAGCAUGGGUUCCCUGUCUCCAACACAAAUUUAUCUCCUGUUACUGCAUGAUGUCCAUACAUACAAGACAAUCACUGAGUCCCCCUAAUAGCACCAUUCUGCGUGGAGACCAAUUAGCUGCUGGGUGGUGCGUAGUGGAACAAUGGCAUGUUAAGUUAAAGAUUUCAGUGGGAUGCCUAGCUCAGACAUGAGACCAUACAAAGAUGGGAUGUCACUUUUUAGGAUGUGUAUUCUAAAUCAACAACCAUAAUAUGAUUUUUUCCGAGUAGGUAAAAUACAUGAGUCUAAAAUCAGGGACUUAAAAUAUAAAUAACUUACUUAACAUCAUCACCAGUUUCUCAUUUACAGAGUUUGUGCUUUCCAGACCCACAAGUUUGGACUGUAUGAUGGAGAAGUUCUGGUCGACAAAGGUAGAAUACAUCGACUCUGGGACACUGCAAAAAUUUCAAUGAACUUAAGUUAUGGCUUCUUCCAGUGUACUUCAGGGGACUUUUCCCAAGUGACUUGAAGAGAAGUCACUAUCCUGAUAGGGAUAAUUGAUCUGAACUUCGGAAAAAGGUAGAGCUCUUGUAGAACGUAAAGCAGGAGGAAUAUUUUUAACAGUAACUAAUCUUAAUCCACUUUGGUGUCUUUUGAUAUUCUCUUGUACAACUUUGAGAAUCAAUGUAAUAAUACAGCAGCCAGGACCUGAGAAGGCAUAGCGACUGUGACUAUAGAACUGUCACAGAUGAAGGUCUGAGUCUUCCAAAGUUAGGCCACCUGACCAGCAGAGGUGCUGUUUAAGGGCGAAGAGGGUGAAAAUGCGUAACUAAGAAGUAUCUUAGCUCAGGCCUCUGUAAAAAAUACUGUGGGUGGGUUAGACAACAAAACUUUAUUUCUCACAGUUCUGGAGGAUGGAAAGAUCAAGGUUGAGGUGCUGGCAGUCAGUUCCUAGUGAGGGCCCUCUUCCUGGUUAUCAGAUAGCUGCCUUCUUGCUGUGUCCUCCCAUGGUGGGGAGAGAGUGAGAGCUUUGGUCUUUCACUUCUUAUAAGGAGAGCAAUUCCACCAUGGGGCCCCCACCUCUAUGAUCUUAUCUAAACUUAACUAUGCCCCAAAGGCUCGUCCUCUAAAUGCCAUCACAGGGGAAGUUAGGGGUUCAACAUAUGAAUUUUGAGGGAUAUGACAUUCAGUUUACAACAAGGAUGGUAAUGUUGAAUAUCAGUUACAGCCCAAGAUCUACUGCAGAGUUGGAAGCUGUGUGGUUUCUUCAUUUAAUAAGUCUCCACUAGAGAAAGAAAAAAAUACACACAUACUAGAAUCAUGGAGAAGCUGCUCCCAACAUAUAUGUACACAUGGAUUCGAGCAGCAUGGAUUAACUGAAGUGGACACUGUGCUUCACUACCCAUUUCCUAAGCUGCUUAUUAUAUAAACUGUUGGAGUGCUGCUGCCUAAUAGAACUGCCUUCCUGGAAGUCCUUCAUCUUUUCAUCUUUUACUGAAGCAUCUCACAUCCAAUACUGGUGGAUACAGGAGUAAAAAGUUCUGGUCCGGUUGCAAUAAAUCAGAGAAAUGCUAAAAAGUUAUCCCAGUUCCAGAACUCUAAAAGAAGCUUUUGUUGUGAAUGAAUCAAAAUCCAACUUUUUUUUUUUUUUUGAGACGGAGUCUCAUCUUGUAGCCCAGGCUGUAGUGCAGUGGCAUGAUCUCGGCUCACUGCGACCUUCGCCUCCGGGGUUCAAGUGAUUCUCGUGCCUGAGCCUCCUGAGUAGUUGGGACUACAGGUGUGCACCACCACACCCAGAUAAUUUUUGUAUUUUUAGUAGAGACAGGGUUUCGCCAUGUUGGCCAGGGUGGUCUCUAUCAAAGUCAAACUUCUUUGUCUUUCAAUUCUGCUUCCUUUCCUUUCCUUCCUGGUGUUAAUUCCAAGAACACUACCCAAUCAACCUACUGUGCUAUGUUUUACCUAUAGUCUGCUUCCCAGGGAGCAUAACUUGCAACAUUAAAAACUUGAGAACAAACAUGUAAAAGUGAAAAAUCAACAAAGCAACGAAUUCUUUGAAAUGAUGAAUCAAAGUAAUAAACUCCUAGGAAGACUGAUCAACAAACACAGAAAGCACAAAUUUAAAAUAUGCAGAAUAAAAGAGGAUAUCACUAUAGACCCUAAAGAUGUUAAAAUAAAAAGAAAAAAAAACCCCCAAAAAUGUAACUAGCAUAUGAUUCAGCAAUCUCACUUAUGAAUGUAUAUCCAAAAGAAAUGAAGUCAGUAUGUCAAAGGGUUAUCUGCGCUUUCAUGUUUAUUGCAACAUUAUUUGCUAAGACAUAGAUUCAACCUCAAUGUCCACCAAUGGAUGAAUGGAUAAAGAAAGUGUGGUACAUAUACACAAUGGAAUACUAUUCAGCCUUAUAAAAAAGAAAAAAUAUCUGAAACAACAUAGAUGAGAUUGAAGGAAGUUAUGAUAAAUGAAAUAAGCCAGACACAGAAAGACAAAUAUGGCAUGAUCUCACUUAUACUUGGAAUCUAAAAUAGCUGAAAUCAUGGAAGUAGAGACUACAAUAAUAGGUACCAGAGGCUGGGUGGGUGACGGGGAUAGAGAAAAUGGGAAGAUUUUAGGCAAAAGGUACAAUGUUUCAGCUAGGAGGAAUGUGUUGAUAUUUAUUGCACAGCAGUGUGACUAUGGUCAAUAAUGUAUUUUGUAUUUCGAAAUAACUAAGAGAGUAUAUUUCAAAUGUCUCACCAGAAAAAUGAUGGAUAAAGUAGGUGAUGUGUAUAUUAAUUAGCUUGAUUUAAUUAUUUCACAUGGUACACACAUAUCAAAACAUCACAUUGUACCCUAUAAAUGUACAAUUAUGAUUUGUCUGUUAAAAAUAAUAUUAACUUAAAAGGAGGAGCAUUGCAUAGUGGUAAAGGGGUUCAUUCUUCCAGAAGUCAUAACAACCUGUAAUGUAUAUGUGCCUAAAAACAAAGUAUCAAAGUAUGGAAGGCAAAAACUGAUGGAACUGCUAGGUGCAAUUGAUGAAUCCACUGUUUUAGUUGAAGGCCUCAUCCUUCUAUCACAAAUGGACACAUCCAACAAGCAGAAAAUAAAUUUAAGGACACAGUUGAACUCAAUAGCAUCAUCAAUCAACUGAAUAUAAUUGACAUCUAUAGACCUACUUUAUCCAACAACAGCAGAAUACAUUUCUUCUCAAGCUCACAUGGUACCUUAACUAAGAUAGAACACAUGCUGGGCCAUAAAACACACCUUAAGAAAAAUUUUAAAAAAGAAUGAUGAAUUGUCUGCUCUCAAGCCACAAUGUAAUUAAACUAGAAAACAAUAACAGACAGAUAACUGGAAAAAUCUCAGAAUAACACAUUUCAAGAUAACAUAUAAAUAAAAAAAAGUUAAGAAAAACAAAAAAAGGGAAUAAAUGAAAAUGAAAACACUAUAACAUUUGUGAGAUAUAGUAAAAUCAGGUCUUAGAAUUUAUAGCAUUGAAUACAUAUUUUAGAAAAGUGAGGUGGCUCACACCUGUAAUGCCAGCACUUUGGGAGGCCGAGGCAGGCAGAUCUCUUGAGGUCAGGAGUUCCAGACCAGCCUGGUCAACAUCGUGAAACCUUGUCUCUACUAAAAAUACAAAAACUAGCUGGGCGUGGUGGCACGUGUCUGUGCUGGGAUUACAGGCGUGAGCCAAUGCACCCAGCCAAUGCAUAUGUUUUUUAAUAAGUGUUUCUCAUACUUUUCCUUAAUCUCCUUUAUCGUACUAGCAUCUUAUUAUUUACUGUUGAUACAACAUUCUGAUUUCCCCUCUAAGCCCAAGGUAAGCUGCUUCUUACUAAAAACCAAUCAUUUUAGAAACAAUUAAACAUGACCAAGCAAAGACUGAGCUUUAUGGUCACACUCUGUUAUGUAAAUGAGGUAAUUUAAACACAGAGUAGAAGUUCAAGAUAUUUUCUCACGGUAACACCCUGGCUCGGAGGGUCCUACGCCCACGGAGUCUCCCUGAUUGCU